CCUUAGAGACAAAUAUUUUUUGUAUGGAUAAGCAGUUGUAACCUGGAUUAGCAGACAAGAGUCUCUUUUUUCUAUUCACCUCUUCCCUGUUUUCUUCCCUUCACUCCUAAAUCCUUCAUGUACUACAGGCACCUGGAGGGUGCCUCUAGCUGGAAUGAUUUUGGAUGAUCUAAGUUGAUGGUUUAAACUUUACCUCUGUCUUUAACCUCCCAGUGAUAGAAGUUCUUGGAAAACUUACCAAGCAGUAGAUCUCCUUUCCCUAAGGUGCAGGACAAGAUCACAAGGCUAGGAGUCAAACAAUCUGGGAGGUUUUGACUUUUCUUCUUCUUUUUUUUUUUUUUUUUUUUGAGGCUGAAUCUCGCUACAGGCAUGCACCACCAUGCCCAGCUAAUUUUUUUUUAGGGACUGGAUCUUGGCUAUGUUGCCCAGGCUAGUCUCGAACUCCUGGCCUCAAGCAGUCUUCCUACCUUGGCUUUCCCAAGUGGCUGGGAUAAUAGGUGUGGACCACUAUGCCAGGCUAAUUCUGAAUUUUGUUAUGUGACCUUGGAUAAGCCCUUUUCUUCCUUAAAGCAUUUGUAUCAGAAUGAAGCUAAGCAGGUUUCUUCACUGCAGCAUUUUUUUUUUUUUUGAGACGGAGUCUUGCUCUGUUGCCCAGGCUGGAGUGCAGUGGCACGAUCUCAGCUCACUCACUGUGUCAUUUUUAAAGAGAAAUUUCUACGUUAAUGUGCAAGAGAACCUCCAGUUGGGAAAUGGGUAUAGUUUUUCUAAAGCUUCUUUGACCACAGAACAUUUUUUGUUACUGGAUCAUCUGGUGGAUUGGUGAUAUGAGAAAUACGUUUUGAUAAAGGGUAGGAAGGAUGAUUUCUAGGGUCAUCUGGCUCUAGCAUUUUAGGAUUUUGUUUCCUAGUCCAGAAACUGGAGCCAGCUUCCAAAGGAUGACUUGGCAAUACAGGCCUCUCUGCCCACCAGACUCUCCUACUUCUGCCCCCAACUUCUGGCCAGAUUCGAGGAGAUGCGAAACAUUGCCUGGCAUCCUCAGAAGCCCUGCCCUUUGGAAAUCUGCCAGACAAGAAUAGGAAUGGAGUGAUCUCUGGAGCCUGCUCCCUCCCUGCUGCAUCCAGCUGCACUUAGCAUUCAGCUCCUGGCCUUCCCCAGCGCAGCAAUUACAUGCUCAGCAUCCACCUCAGAAAUAUGGUAAGAAAGUUGGUGGUUGGUUGUUGCCACUGGCCUACGGCUUUUGUCCAGAGAAGACGGGAAUGGGGGUCCAGUUACCCAACCCCUUCAGAACAGAUGGUUUCUCAUGCCCAUGGACCUUGGUUACGGAGUGUGAACAGGAUUCUCCUAAAUAUUUCAACUUCGGAAGACCGGAUUGAAAGUCAUCUCAAUUAAGCAAGGACUGAGAGUGUGCAAAUAUUAUUUGAACGUUGGUUAACUUUUCCUUAAAUGGAAAUGAAUGAGCAGUAAAGUCACUUUGAUGAAUCUUAUACAGAGCCUCUGUCCCAGAGUCCUGAAACUUCACCUGAUGGUCAUAAAGAAUCAAAGUAAGUCCUUUGCGAGGCUGCGUUGUGUUGGGGUGGGUGGGUGAAGGGUCCUUUCAAAUUCUGUAGAUCCCAGUACAUUGCAUCUACAGGGUAUGUGUUUAAAUGAGGGGUAGUUGACCCACAUAACUCCCCACCCUCCUGCCUCAUGGUUAGAAUGUAUGUUCAUUGGGGAUUCUGCAUACAUUUUCAUCACAUAUCUACUUUUCUGGCUUUUAAGUAAUAUCCUCUCCUUUGUUUUUGCCAACAGUGUUCAUGAAUAGUGAAUGUAGGAAAGCAUUAUCAUUGCUAUGUUUUAUUUUCACACUGUAUCUCAGUAUCAGCCCAUACUUUCAAUGUACUAACAACUGUCACUGAGGCAAAAAGUUUUAAUUAAGCUCACACAUGAUUAUUUUCCAGCAAACAGAGCCUAAUUGAUGAAAUUGCUAACUGUACUUCCAGGUGCAGUCAGUAGCCAGUAGUGCAUUGUUAGUAUGCAAUAUGGCAUGGGCUGUUACAUGGUGUGAUACUAGAUUAUAUAUUUACUAUGAACGUAUGUAUUGUUCUUUAAUGACAUCUAUUUGUUCAUUCCAAAAAUAUUUAUUGAGCACGGACUCUGUGCCAGUUAUUAGUUAGAGUAAUAAUAGCUGCUGUGGCAAAUGAAUUUCCUCACCUAAGAAAAAUAAAAGUUAAUUAUUUUUUCUCCACAUAAAGGUCUAGAAUGUUCUGCCGCAUGCCUUCCAUGUCAUGAUUCAGGGACCCAGGCUCCUUCCAUCUUGUGGCUGCCCCAUCCACUAGGUUCUCAGACUCUUUCAUUUCCAACUGGUGGUUGUUGAAAGAGAGGGUGAUGAAGGUGUACCCCACUUACAUCUUACCCACUUUCACCUAGAAGUGGCACAUAUCACUUUUAUUGACGUUUCAUUAGCAAGAAUUGUCCUGCAACACACUUGGAGGAAGGCAGCUGGGAAAUGCUGUCCCUGGCUGUGCACAGGGACAUAUGUAUUUUAUGUAUUUUAUGAGACUCUUUGCAGGAUAGCUGGCUAUCUCUGCCACAGCUGGCCAUGUCUGCCAUGGCUAGACAUCAUUUCAGGCUCUAGGGAAAUAGCAGUGAAGAGAAACAGACAAAAAUAUCUGACCUCAUGGAGCAUAAAUUCUUGAAUUAAAAUUCUUAAAUUCUUCAUGGGAUGAGACAGACAAUAACCAGGCUAAAUCAGUAUGUUGCAAAGCAGUGAGAGCUGCUAAAACUAAGCAGAAAAAGGGGUACAAAGCAUGAGAGAGAAGGAUUUGAGAUGAGAUAGUGUGGUCAUAGAAAGCCACACUUUCUAUCAGCAUGAGAGAAAAGCUAAAGCAGGAAAAGGGGUAGAAAGCAUGAGAGAAAGGUUUGAGAUGAGUUAGUGUGCUCAUAGAAAGCGUCUUGAAAGAAAUGAUAUUUUAAGUAAAGAAUCAGAGAGCAUAAGGUGUCCAACUAGGUGAAUAUCUAAAGCAAAAACAUUCCAGAUGGAGAGAAUAGCAGGUAAAAGGACUCUGAAGCUGGUGAAGAUAAUAAGGGUGAGAAUAAUAGAAGGUGAGAUCGGAGAGGCAAUCGUCAGGCCAGACUGUGUCGGGCCAUUUAGGUCAUAGUAAAAAUCUGGGCUUUUUUUUUUGUUUUUUUUUUUGUUUUUGUAACUAACUUUAUUGAACUAUGAUUUUCAUAAAAUAUACCCAUUCGGUAGGUUUUAAAAAAUGUAGACAUGAAGACAUUCAUAUAAUCACCACUACAAUAAAAAUAUAGAACAUUUUUAUCAUCCCCUAAAAGUAUCCCUAUUUAUAGUUCAUACCUGGCCCCAAGCAAUCACUGAUAUGCCAUCACAGAUUAGUUUGUUUUUUCUAGGAUUUCAUACAAAUGGAAAGGAACAGUAUGUACUCUUCUGUGUCUGUAUUCUGUCACUCAACAUAAUGCUUUUGAGAUUCAUUCAUAUUGUUGUCAGUAUCACUACUUUAUUUCUAUUUACUGCCAUUAUAUGAAUUCUAUUAUGUGGAUAUACCAUAAUUUAUUUAAUCUUUCACCUACUGAGAGGCAUUUGAGUUGUUGAUAAUUUGGGGCUGCUAUGAAUAAAUCUGCUAUGAACAUAAUGUGCAGUUCUUUUUUGUGGACAUAUAUUUUCAGUUUUCUUACAUCCAGGAGUGGAAUUGCUGGAAACCAUAAGGUAAGUAUUGGUUUAAGUUUAAAGAAACUGUCACUGUUUUCCACAGUGGUCAUGGCUUUUCACACGUCCACCAGCAAUGAAUGUGAGUUCCAGUUGUUCCAUAUCCUCACCAACCCUUGUUGUUGGCAGUCUUUUAAAUUUAAACCGUACUAGUGGGUGUAGAGUAAUAUAUUAUUGUAGUCUUAGUUUGCAUUAAUCUAAUGACCGUGAAUGUUGAACACCAUUUCACAUGCUUUUGAUCAUUUAUACAACUUCUUUUGUUAAGUGUUCAAAUCUUUUGCUUGUUAAAAUAAUUUUUUUGUCCUAUUGAGUUGAAAUAAUGUUAAAAAUAUUUUCUUGAUGUAAGUCCUUUGUCAGAUCUAUGCAGUCCAUGAAUUAUUUUCUCCUAGCCUGUGGCUUGCCUUUUCUCUUUCCUAAUAGUACCUUUCAAAGAGUAUAUGGUCUUAGUUUUGAUGAAGUAAAAUGUAUUUUAUUUUUUGCAUAGUUAAUGCUUUUUGUGUUCUAAAGAAUCUUUGCUUAGAUGUUAAAGAUUCUCAAGUUCUAAAGACUUCCUUUUGUUUUCUUCUAGAAUUUAAUUUUUAUUUAUUUUUUUUAGUUCUAGAUUUAACCUUUAGGUUUGUUAUCUAUUUCAACUUAAUUUUAGCAUAUAGUGUGAAUUGAGGGUUAACAUAUAUUUAUUUAUUUAUUUUUUACAAUGCAGUUAUCUAGUUGUUUUAGCACAGUGUAUCAAAAGAACUAUUGAAUUACCUUUUUGAAUUACCGUGGCAGCCUUCUUGAAAAUCAAUUUACCUUACGGUAAAUAUGGUAAAUUUGUAACUCUAUUUCUGGACUCUCUAUUCUGUUCUACUCAUCUAUAAAGCAUUUUUUCACCUAUACCACAUUGUCUUGAUUACUCUUGCUUUAUUGUGAGUCCUGAAAUCAAAUAGUUUAAGCUUUUCAAGUCUAUCCCCUUUUUUGAAAAUUGAUUUACUAUUUGGUUCUUUGGAGGUUGUUAAUUUCUUUUUUUUUCUUUUUUUUUUUUUUUUUUUUUGAGAUGGAGGCUUGCUCUGUCGCUGAGGCUGGAGUGCAGUGGCGCUAUCUCGGCUCACUGCAAGCUCUGCCUCCCGGGUUCACACCAUUUUCCUGCCUCAGCCUCCUGAGUGGUUGGGACUACAGGUGCUCACCACCACGCCCGGCUAAUUUUUUGUAUUUUUAGUAGAGACAGACUUUCACCGCAUUAGCCAGGAUGGUUUCGAUCUCCGGACCUCAGGAUCCGCCCACCUCGGCCUCCCAAAGUGCUGGGAUUACAGGUGUGAGCCACCGUCCCCGGCCUGGAGGUUGUUAAUUUCUACCAAGAAGUCUUCUCAGCUUUUAACAGAAGUUGCAUUGAAUACAUAGAUCAUCUUGGGGGAAAAUUAACGUUUUAACAAUAUGGAUCUUUCCAACUGUGAGUACUAUACUCUCUAUUUAUUUAAGCCUUCUAAAUUUCUCCCAGCAGUAUUUUGUAGUUUUUGGUGUAUAAAUCUUGUAUACAUUUUGUUAAAUUUGUACCUAUGUGUGCCAUAUUUUUGGAGCUACUAUAAAUAGUAUUUUUAAAAAUUUUAUUUUCUAAUUGUUCAUUGCUGUCAUAUAGAAAAAAUUUGAUUUUUGAAUAUUGCUUCUGUAUACUGCACUCUUGCUCAAUUCACUUAUUAGUACAAUUAGCUUUAUUUGAAUUGGGCCUUAUACAACAUAAGAAGUAUUUUGGCUUUUAUGCUGAUGAAUCAUAUGGGGGUAUGAGAGCAAACAUUUUUGGAUCUUAGUUUUUGAACAUGUUAAAUAAAGGUAAACAUGAAAGACUGCUAGUUAAAUGUAUCUGGAAGUCAGAGAGGGGUCAUGGGUGAAUAUGUGCAUUUGAAAUCACUAGCUUAGCAAUGAUAGUUAAGCCAUAAAACUUAUUCAGAUCAUCAGUAUUUAGGAGUUAAUGAUGAGGAAUCAGCAAACCAGUUUGAAAAAGCAACAGUCAGAGAGGUAUGGGGAAAACCAGGUGAGUGUGAUACCUUGAAAACCAAGAGAAGAAAAUGUUUUAAGUAAAUUGCUUUGGGAGGCCGAGAUGGGCAGAUCACUUGAAGUCAGGAGUCCGAGACCAGCCUGGCCAACAUGGUGAAACCCUGUCUCUGCUAAAAGUACAAAAAAUAAAUAAAUAAAUAAAUAAAUAAAUAAAUAAAUAAAUAGCCAGGCAUGGUGGUGCAUGCCUGUAAUCCCAGCUA
rnacentral:lncRNA from 1 species